ACAACUUCAUAUUUCUCAUUCUCAAUCACAGACAUCCUUCAAGCUAUGCCUAUGGAGGCUUUCUCCUUGCAGUCACUGACUUCAACCAUCAUUCCCUCCUCUUUGUCACGUAGAGUUGCCACAGAUAAACCUUCUGGGUAUGUCAAGUUUUCCCAAUACUCAGAUUUCAUGAGGUACCCCAGUACCACAAGAACCACAAAGCACAAAGUUCAUUGCACCAGAGUUCAAGCUUCAGGUUCAACAAAAUCUAGUACUGGUACUGCUGAGGGGAUUCCUGAGAAAACAAAUUCAAAGGAUGACAACUUGGUAUUUGUUGCUGGUGCCACUGGUAGAGUUGGUUCACGGACAGUGAGGGAGCUUAUAAAGCUUGGUUUUAGAGUCAGAGCUGGAGUGAGAGAUGCUGAGAGAGCUGGUGCAUUAGUUAAGAGUGUUGAACAAUUGAAGCUUGAUGGUACAAGUGCAAGUGGCGAGAGUCAAGCCCAGCUGUAGAGAAGCUUGAAAUUGUGGAAUGUGAUUUGGAGAAACCAGAUCAAAUUGUAUCAGCACUAGGGAAUGCAUCAACAGUGAUAUGUAGCAUUGGUGCCAGUGAGAAGGAAGUUUUUGACAUCACUGGACCCUUUAGAAUAGAUUAUCAGGCAACCAAAAAUUUAAUUGAUGCUGCAACUGUUGCCAAAGUAAAUCAUUUCAUAUUGGUUACUUCACUUGGAACAAACAAAAUUGGCUUUCCUGCAGCUAUCCUCAAUUCAGCUGAUUGCUUGAUUCUGCUUUUAAAGUUUGUUUUGGGGAGUGCUGAUUUGGAAAAGGAAGGCAGAAGAAGCAUUGCUAGCAAGUGGAAUUCCAUACACAGUGAGUCAUUCUGAAUCUAUGAUACUAAUUACUCCAAAGGGGUCCUAAUUGUCUACUUGUUUUUUCACUCUUCAGAUAGUGAGACCUGGAGGUAUGGAGCGGCCAACUGAUGCUUUCAAGGAAACUCAUAAUAUAACCCUAUCAACGGAAGAUACUUUAUUUGGGGGUCUAGUGUCAAACCUUCAGAUUGCUGAACUCAUGGCAGUCAUGGCCAAGAAUCGUGAACUUUCAUAUUGUAAAAUAGUAGAGGUAAUUGCAGAGACAAUUGCACCGCUAACUCCCAUGGAGGAACUUCUUGCAAAGAUACCUUCUCAACGCCCUUACAUUUAUUCUCCCAAGGAACCAGAUAUUGCAGCUGUCAGUGAUCCAGUUCCCUCUAUUGAUGUUGUGGCAGCUGAAACUAGCACUGCCACUCAGAAAGAAACUUCACAACCUAAACCAGUGGCAAAACAGCCACUCUCUCCUUACACUGCCUAUGAUGAUUUAAAGCCACCUUCAUCCCCUUCUCCUUCUCAGCCUAGUGGCCAUGUAAAAAUCAGUGACACAGUGCCAAAAGCCAGUGCUUCAGAUACUCCAAGUAGUGUGCCAGGAAUAGAUGGCAUCUCUCAGACAGCAUCAUUCUCUAAAGGGGAAAAGCCUCUUUCUCCUUAUGUGGCGUGAGGAUCUCUCAACUAUGUGCUCUUAUAUGUCAAUACACAUUACUGUCUUUCUUUUAUUUUCAUUCUUGUUAUCAGUGGCUUAGUUAGUGGUAGUACUUUUAUAUGUGUGUGCCUAUGCAUUAGCACUUGACCUUAUAUGAUGUAGUUUGGUUGUUCAACUUAGUAAGAUUUUGUUUGUUUAUUCUCUAAGGGCAUGUCAUGUCAUGUUAUGUUAUGCAUGCAGAUAUCCUGACUUAAAGCCUCCAACUUCACCAUCUCCUAAUGCACCGAAUGUAUCAGUUUCCACAUCUGUUGUGGAUGGGGUGACAAAGAUAGAUACCGUAUCAAGCAAUGGACCAGCCCAGCCUUCAAUAACAGAUGAACCCAAGUCAAGACCACUUUCACCUUAUACAAUGUAUGAGGACUUGAAGCCUCCAGCAUCACCAACACCUUCCAUGAAAAAAUCAUAGGAAACUGCCUUCCAAUGGAAUCAGACAAGAAUUGUUGAAGAGUCUAUCCCACAAUUCAUAUGGAGGGUAGUCACUCGAAUAUGAAGAUCGGAAGCAUUUCUGCGAAUUGAAAUUUUCAGCAAUGUCAUUUAUUUGUUGAUGACCUUUUGGUGAACCUCAACGAGCACUAUUGCUCCUUUUUGUAAUUUACUUUUCUAUGUUAGCAAUUUAAAUAAGAAAAAGAUAUUACUUUUUUUUUCAGAUUUUUUUUCAUUUAUUUUUAUUAUUUUCGUUUUCCAAUUUUAUUUAUU